rnacentral:pre_miRNA from 1 species
CUAAGAUGAUGAUGAUGAUGGUGGUGGUGGUGAUGAUGAUGAAGACAAUGAUGACUUUCAUCAUCAUCAUCAUCACCAUCACCAUCAUCACCAUCA